GAUGAACGCUGGCGGCGUGCCUAAUACAUGCAAGUCGAGCGAACAGACGAGGAGCUUGCUCCUCUGACGUUAGCGGCGGACGGGUGAGUAACACGUGGAUAACCUACCUAUAAGACUGGGAUAACUUCGGGAAACCGGAGCUAAUACCGGAUAAUAUAUUGAACCGCAUGGUUCAAUAGUGAAAGACGGUUUUGCUGUCACUUAUAGAUGGAUCCGCGCCGCAUUAGCUAGUUGGUAAGGUAACGGCUUACCAAGGCAACGAUGCGUAGCCGACCUGAGAGGGUGAUCAGCCACACUGGAACUGAGACACGGUCCAGACUCCUACGGGAGGCAGCAGUAGGGAAUCUUCCGCAAUGGGCGAAAGCCUGACGGAGCAACGCCGCGUGAGUGAUGAAGGUCUUCGGAUCGUAAAACUCUGUUAUUAGGGAAGAACAAAUGUGUAAGUAACUAUGCACGUCUUGACGGUACCUAAUCAGAAAGCCACGGCUAACUACGU
rnacentral:rRNA from 1 species